UACGAAGGGGGCUAGCGUUGUUCGGAAUUACUGGGCGUAAAGCGCGCGCAGGUGGUCUUUCAAGUCAGUGGUGAAAGCCCGGAAGCUCAACUCCGGAAAUGCCAUUGAAACUGUGAGACUUGAGGACGAGAGAGGUGAGUGGAAAUUCCCAGUGUAGAGGUGAAAUUCGUAGAUAUUGGGAAGAACACCGGGUGGCGAAGGCGGCUCACUGGCUCGUAUCUGACGCUCAGGCGCGACAGCGUGGGGAGUCAAACAGG
rnacentral:rRNA from 1 species